rnacentral:rRNA from 1 species
UACGUAGGGGGCGAGCGUUGUCCGGAUUUACUGGGCGUAAAGAGCGCGUAGGCGGUCGUUCAAGUCGCGUGUGAAAGCCCCCGGCUCAACUGGGGAGGGUCACGCGAUACUGAUCGACUCGAAGGCAGAAGAGGGUAGUGGAAUUCCCGGUGUAGUGGUGAAAUGCGUAGAUAUCAGGAGGAACACCAGUGGCGAAGGCGACUACCUGGCCUGUUCUUGACGCUGAGGCGCGAAAGCUAGGGGAGCAAACGGG